UACGUAGGGGGCUAGCGUUGUCCGGAAUCAUUGGGCGUAAAGCGCGUGUAGGCGGUCCGGUAAGUCCGCUGUGAAAGUCGGGGGCUCAACCCUCGGAUGCCGGUGGAUACUGUCGGGCUCGAGUACGGAAGAGGCGAGUGGAAUUCCUGGUGUAGCGGUGAAAUGCGCAGAUAUCGGGAAGAACACCCGUGGCGAAGGCGGCUCUCUGGGACGGUACUGACGCUGAGACGCGAAAGCGUGGGGAGCGAACAGG
rnacentral:rRNA from 1 species